rnacentral:rRNA from 1 species
GUAGGUGGCAAGCGUUGUCCGGAAUUAUUGGGCGUAAAGCGCGCGCAGGCGGUUCUUUAAGUCUGAUGUGAAAGCCCACGGCUCAACCGUGGAGGGUCAUUGGAAACUGGGGGACUUGAGUACAGAAGAGGAAAGCGGAAUUCCAAGUGUAGCGGUGAAAUGCGUAGAGAUUUGGAGGAACACCAGUGGCGAAGGCGGCUUACUGGUCUGUAACUGACGCUGAGGCGCGAAAGCGUGGGGAGCAAACAGGAUUAGAUACCCUGGUAGUCCACGCCGUAAACGAUGAGUGCUAAGUGUUAGGGGGUUUCCCGCCCCCCUUAGUGCUGCAGCUAACGCAUUAAGCACUCCGCCUGGGGGAGUACGGCCGCAAGGCUG